rnacentral:miRNA from 1 species
CCUAUUCUUGAUUACUUG